UAUACUGUGUGUAGGUAUCAGUGUAUGC
rnacentral:sRNA from 1 species